GAACGCUGGCGGCGUGCUUAACACAUGCAAGUCGAACGAUGAAGCCCAGCUUGCUGGGUGGAUUAGUGGCGAACGGGUGAGUAACACGUGAGUAACCUGCCCUUAACUCUGGGAUAAGCCUGGGAAACUGGGUCUAAUACCGGAUAGGAGCGCCCACCGCAUGGUGGGUGUUGGAAAGAUUUAUCGGUUUUGGAUGGACUCGCGGCCUAUCAGCUUGUUGGUGAGGUAAUGGCUCACCAAGGCGACGACGGGUAGCCGGCCUGAGAGGGUGACCGGCCACACUGGGACUGAGACACGGCCCAGACUCCUACGGGAGGCAGCAGUGGGGAAUAUUGCACAAUGGGCGCAAGCCUGAUGCAGCGACGCCGCGUGAGGGAUGACGGCCUUCGGGUUGUAAACCUCUUUCAGUAGGGAAGAAGCGAAAGUGACGGUACCUGCAGAAGAAGCACCGG
rnacentral:rRNA from 1 species